GACUCGAUAGCUUAGUUGGUAAAGCACUUGUCUAGCGAAUAAGGGUCGUGAGUUCAAAUCUCACCUGAGCUG
rnacentral:tRNA from 1 species